GUUCGGUUGGCUUCUUAGAAAUUUUUUUCUAACUCUAAAAACACUCAUUGUCCCUACUUUCAAUCAUUACUCUCAUUUCUCUCUCCACUCAUUACCCCAAAAACCAAACCCAAAAAUUUCACAAAAGCCAACCGAACGAGGGAAAAAAUUCUCUAAUAUAUGAUUUUGAGUAUUACUGAUAUUAUUAGUAUAAUGUUUACUUAAAAAGUUAAUAAUUUUUUGUUUGAUUUAAUAAAAAAUGGGUUAUAUUACAUUCUCGUUACUCAAUUUCUUUCAUAAAUAAAAAAAUAAGCAUAUGACUCUUGUAGUAGUCUAAGGAAAACCAACUGGGGCUAGCUCGCUCAGUUGACCAAGACUAUUGCAUUUCACUAGGAGGUCAGGUGUUCGAAUCUCCCCACCUGCGAGUGCAUGUUCUCCCCUUAGACGGGCUUUUCCUUUUUUUUUCCUUUGUUUCUUCCCUAUGAUGAGCUUAUUUUUGGUAUUGGUUGUGUUUUUGGGUUUGGUUAUUUCGUGGACUCUCACAACUGAUAUAGUGUCACAGGCUUGUAUUUUGUACAUCAUGAUGUAAAUGAUCUCUUCUAUCAAUCGAAAAAAAAAGGCCUAAAAUAACAAAAUGAUUCAUAUACUUUUGCAAUCAAAAAAAAGCUCUAUGAUAUAAUAUGUUCUGAUACAAAUAUGCCUACUAAACCGGCCCCCCUCGGGCCAAAAUCCUAGUUCCGCCACUAGGCAUCGUGUAUAUUGAUGAAGUUGACAAUAUCACAAAAAAGGUUUCUCUAAAACUACUUCACGGUUGAGAGCCUUAAUAUAAUAAGCUGAGAUGAAUCGGGUGAGGGUGUCCAGCAAGCAUUACUAAAAGUGCUGGAACGAAUGGUAAAUGCAUCUUCUAUUUGGUUCGCUCUGAGUUUAGUUAAAUGAGGGCUUGUCAGCAGAUCUUGGGGAAACUGAUCUUGGGGCAGCCUUAUGACCAAUCUGUUGGAACUUGUGCCAUUUUAGUUUAUAGAGAUGGACUGAAUUUUUCAUAUCGGCAGUGAUUGCUGAAUGAAGUAUAGCAGUGACCCUUAAUCCCAUGUUUGUAACAACUAUAUUAGAUGAUAUUUUACUCGGAUUUAUUGUCCUAUCUUAACUUCUGAGUAGAGCUCACUUGCUAGUGAAUCACCAUCUUCUACAAUGUUUGUUGGUCUUAUUCUGCAAGCAUAAAACCAAGACUAAAGACGGAAGCAAAAAUCUGCAAAAAAUUCUGAGUUUUGCCCCUAUAUAACUAUUAUUUUCACACUUCUUUUAGCUAUUGCAUUGGCAUUGGAGAUUCUCUUGACUCAGCUUUUCUUCGAGUUUGAAAUUGGUGGGAACUGGAUAGGAACCUUGUUUUGCACUUGAGAGUUGCUAUAAUGAUGUGGGUAGUUAAUGUGUUUGUGUUCUGAUUUGUGGGGCUCUCUAUCCAGGUAGUCAAUGUCCCAGAGAUAGGAGCUCGAAAGCAUGCUAGAGGCGACAAUAUUCAGAUCGACACUAAAUGUAAUCUCUUCAUAUGUGGAGGUGCUUUUAUCGACUUGGAGAAAACUAUCUGAGAAAGGUAAUUCCCAUAAGAAAAAUAGCUACGUUUUCUCCUCUUGGCAGAAGCAAAAUGUCAUUGUCUUCUUAGGUCUAUAUAUCUCUUGGCCAAUAUUGGACCAUGGAAAACAAUGAAGUGUUCUGUAGAUAAAUGCUUGUAAGCCUCCUUGUCUCUGUUCAUUUGAACUUCUCCCGACCCUUUUUUUAUUUUUUAUUUUUUAUUCUGUUUAUUUUUGCCAAAUUAGUGGGUUGUAAUUUUUUUUGACCGUAUCGAGAACUGUUAAAACUUCAUUUGGCGUGGUAUGGUUGAGAGGGGGCUUGAAGAGUUUUGGACAUGGAUGCUUAAGUUAAUUUUUUUUUUUUUUAACACGGGAAAUGGAUGCUUAAGUUCUUUUUGAAAGGGGAUGCUUAAGUUCAAGGAUGCUGUUUUUGGCAUUUUGUGGGAGGUACAUAUGACUAUAUGACUUUGCUCGUCUCUCUAUACGUUCAAUGGCUGCCUAGAGAGUUGAGCUUCUGUAUAUCUCUACUAUCAUAUAUAUGUUGAAACGGCCUCAAAUUCUCAUGGUGCAUAUUUGCCCCACAAGUACUUUGUUGAAGUUCUGGAGGGACUAAAUGCCUGAACUUUCUCCAGUAGGGUGGGAGGGAUGAAGAACGAUGUGAGAGUGGAUCAAUGAUUCAUUAUCUAUCUUUUGGCAUAGGGAGGCAUUUUAGAAGGAUAUCUGCUAAAAAUAUGAGAAGCUUGCAAAUGACAAACAUGUACGAGGUCACUGUCUAUAGUUUGUUUGUUUAAAUUUUUUUGCUUUGACCAUGGGAAGCAGUUGUUCCAUGGUCUAGAUUACUAUUGAAAUGUUUUGAUGGCUGGGAGGAGUGGGAACUGAUUUCAGGGCUGAGAUCAUUUUAGUUCUGCUGUUGUACGGUAUGGAUUGGGGUCUGAGAAAUCAAAAUUUGAAUCCUUUGAGAAAGGCAGUAAACCCACACUGAUCGGAGAAGAUAAUUAACCCACCGCCAUGAACACAUUCAGGACUUCAUGACUCAAGACAAUUGGGAUUUUGGACGCAAUACACAGUUAGGUCUAUCUGGUUUAUUUCCUUAUCUCUGUUUCAUUUGUGCCAUGAACUCUAUCCAUCUGGUGUAGAGUUGCGGAUUUUGAGAGGCGAUGGAUCUUCGGACUCGUCAAUAAUCUUGAAAUACAGAGAUCUCUUAUUCUCCCCCUUUAUUUGCUUUAAGCAUCUUGAGAUCUCAUUUUCCUCCUCAUUUGCUUUAAGCAUCUUGAAAUCGAUCACAUCUGUUAUUAUGUGAUUCUAUUAGGGCUUUGGUGUCAGGACCUUGCAAGAAGAAGGGCUCUAUGAUCUAAAGGUAAUUGAUUUGACUUAUUUAGUUUCAUUCAUUUUAGUUCAGUUGUUAGAGAGUUUUUUUUUUAUAAUUAAAUUCUAAAACUCUGUAUCGACAUUGUUUGCAGUUUUUUUUGUUCUUUCCCCAAUGCUAGGAUAGGAAGACGUUUUGAGAGGUUUUGACCAAUGCCACCACUAUGCUAUGUUUGCUUAUAUCUCACAAGUCACACUGGGAGUUGCAACAAGAGUGCGUAAAUUGUGCGGCAAUGUUGAUGGUUUCACCAGGGAAUGACAAUGAUUUGUAACACCUUAUAACCGGCCGAACUGGUAACAAAAAGGAUGACCAAAUUUAUCCCCAUCCCCACCAAUUUGAUCCUUUGUCUUUGUUGGUUAAAUAUUGAAAGGAUUUUCUACGGCUAUGUAGCACUAAUGUAUGAUACGACUCUGAUUUGUCCGUAACUGAUUCAUGUGGUAAAUAUGAUUGCUCUUUGUUUGUGGUAUUUGAAAGUGCCAAUUAGAACCUUAAACAAGAUAGUCGAAUAUUUACAGUGCGAUUGAAUGUUAGAUAAAGGCAUUAGUUAACUAUGGGUAAGCGAGAAACCUUUCCUAGUAAAGUUGGUUGUCUCACCCUCCCUCCACAGUGGAGGCGGAGGUUCGAGCUCCACGGGAGGCAAAUUUGGGGUUCAGGGCUAUGGACAGCCUCUGGAACCCCCUAUUGACCAACAUAUUUACACCC